UUCACCAAUCUGAGGGAAGGUUUUUAUGAGGGAAAGCAUUUGCAGUUAAUAAUAAAACACAUUCCAACCUUUAAAUACAUUAUUUUGAGUUUAUAAAUGAAACAACAGGUCUGCUUUGCAGACUAGGAGAAACUUGAGGCUAGAGAGCCAACUGGCUUUGUUUGCCAUCAGAUCCAUCUGAAAAAUAACCAGGUGAUUUCUAUAACGGGAUGGAAACAAAGCAGGUGAGUUUGGUUGUUUGAAGGAGGUGGAAGGGCUGAAGUGCCUGCAGCAAUCAGGUGGGUGGCUGUGCUCUCUGCUUCAGCAACAGGAUGUCCUGAAAAGCAAACCUCAGCUGCAACUUCAGUCCUUCUGAACAAGAUGUUAUCUUGCUUUGGUGCUUUGCAGCUGAAGGUUUAGCUAUUGAAAGAGAAGAUAGGAGUCUGAGGCUUGGCACCUAAAGUGACAGUGUUUAAGCUGUAGGCAAAGGCUUUGGCCUGUUGGAUGCCAGGGAAAAGGCACAUACAGCUGAGUUCACAGUGUUUCUCUCCUGUUACCUGUCACAGAUAAGUCAAGGCUGCUGUUUUUUGCCAAGACCACAUAUCCCCUGUCCUCUCCCAUCCCAAAAAUAAAGCUGCAGUUUUGGAAGCUUAGCUGUGCAACUUCACAGGCCAUUUCUGGUGUAAGAGCAAACUGUGCCUCAUUAAGGGAAUACCAGAAACUUCCUACACAACGUGCGAUGUCACAUCCUCUGACAGAGGCUUAUUCUCCUGCCUGUGAGCUUUUAACAAAGGGUUGUAUACACCAUGAGGCUUACAGACCCAUAUACACAGCAUGUGACUAAUUCCUGGAUCCAGAAGACUUUGGAAAGGCAGAUCUGAUGCUGCUGCCAAUCUGUAUGUCGGGCAGAUAUUUUGGUGCUGUUACGUAUUUCAAUCCAGGGAAAGCCUAAUAAAUAUCCUAAAAUCAGGAGAUGGACAGACAAGCAAAGUGUAGCCUGCCUGCUGCCAUCAUUUUUAAAGAGGUCUUACAGUGUCUGGAGCCAAAGACUGGGCCAGCCCAACCAGAGAUGGAAGCUGAAAUGUAUUAAAUAGCUUCAGAUGGUGGGCCCACUCCACUGGAAAAAAUUGCUGUUUCAAUGUAAGAUGAAAGAGCAACUGUAUCGAAAUGCUGGGUUGUUGUUUGAAAAACAGCAUAUGCUCUGUUGUAUCUUAUUUAAGCAACUGGUUAUGCAAGAUGGUUUGCUGUUUGGCUUGUCUCAUUUUAAUGACAGCAAAGAGUAGUGUAUGCUGAGGUUUUGAUGAGCUGUGCUCUAAAUAUGUUCUCAGAGUAAAGUUUUUUGUGCCGUAUACAGUUACAUGAGCUCAGAAAUAGUUUCUAAAAUUAUUUUCAGCGCAGCUCAUGCAGAAGGGUGAUGUGUGUAAACUGUUGAGAGUUCACCAUUUCUAUCACUAUCAGGCAUGAGUUUAAGUUUAGUCAUUGUCUCAUGUUCUCAUGACAAAUUUUACCAUCUUGAUUCCACUGCAGGUUUUGUUUGAAUCUGACAAAAGUUUUCUGGAAUAAAUAUUUUUAGCAUGUGAAUAAUCAUUAACAGUGGUUAUUAGUUAGCCUUAGAAAUCCUUGCCCUGUGAACCAGAGCCCCUAGAUUACACACACAAAUUUUUGGUUGAAAUGGGUUUUUUUUUCCUCUGUCAUCUUGAGCCAUGACAGGGGAAAUCUUGACAACAUGCCUGUUGUUAUAUGCACUCUUGCAGAAAAAUCAAUGGCAGCAUAGGAUAAACUUUAUCUUUUAAAGUUUCUUAUUUGCUAGGCACAAGCUACAGUUAUUUUGCUUAAGAUGUGUUUUCUUUUUAAGGGACUUACUUUUGUGGCAUCCCUUGUAGCAGAUAACAUGUCAGUGAGUUGUACUUUUAAGUAUUUCCUUCACGAGAUGAAUGGUUGUUAUUGUCUGUGAACAAUUUUGAAUAGGGUAGUGCUGAACUGUAAAAUCUCCCUGGUACUUUUAUUAGGACAAUUGAAUUUUCUAACAGACUUCUGUAACUUUAAGUGUGUAAUUAAAGGCCUAAGUAAUUGCUCCUAAAUGUGAAGGGUUAAUUAAAGCUCAGCAAGGUGUCUCCAGUCCCAGAGUACUACCCUGUCUCUGCCAGCAGCAGUGUUAAUUAAUGACACUCCUAAAAGUUUGCAUGAACGAUGUGUGUGGAUACCAGUCUCAUAGGAUCAACGGAACUGAGUUCUCCUUGUUUGCUGAAGAGACAGAAAAUAACAUGGAAUUUUAUUGCUUCUUGGCCAGUUUCAAGUGACAAAAGUGAUAAACAUUAGGUCUUAUACAUUGUUUGUAAACUGAACUGAUUAAUGGAUAAUCUUGUUAUUGUGAGAUUUUUACUAAACUUCACUUUACCAUGUUCUCAGGACUCUGGUGUUACUGAUUAACUGAGAAGGUACAAGUUCAUAAAGUGAGAAACUCUUCAAACUGUGAUUGAAAAAAAUAAUGAUAUGCCUGACAAGAGCAGUCUGUGUCACAAUGGCACAACAGAAGAGUUUCAUGAUGAGCCAAGCUGUAUCUACUCUCUAGAGAACAGCCUUUUAGCUGAAGCUGUUGGAAGAAGGUCAGAGCACAAACAUGUGGGCAAGUUGCAUCCAUAUUGGCAGACUGGAAUUGUUUUUAUCGAAGACCAGUUUGGCUCACACAAGUAAGGAGCACGUCACUGAGGUGCUGAGAAAGCUUCAUAAAAUGCUGUUGGCAAGUCAACAGACAUAUAUUUUAUUGUGGGUCAUUUUAGGGUGUCUUAUGCUUACAUAGAAGCCAUUUUUCAAAGGAGUUUUCAAACUGAGAUCUUUACUACUUGUGAUUUAUCGUAUGUAUCUUAACACUGUCAACAGAAGUAAGAUUUGACAUCAAUAUAACAUCUUUGUGGUAGAACAGCUGCUUUCUGCCUACCUGUGUUUCCUGUCUGGAAAUGUUUUGUAUAUUUUUAGUUUUUGGGGCUAAAAGUUGGUUGUAAUAAUGUUGCUAUGUUAUGUGACUUGCAAUAAGCUCAUUAUAUCCUUAAUUAUUAGUACUUCAUUGCAAUCAAAGCACUUCUCAGAAUUUUUCUUUUUUUGUUCCCCCCCCCCCCCCCCCCGUAAAUAACAAAUAGUCCAUAAGAUAAAGAUGAUGAAAAGAAUCUGCAGUGAACGUAAAUAGUUUUGAAAUAACUGAAGUUAGGACUCCAGGAUUCGUUUGAUAUAUAGUGUAUUUUUUUCUAAUAGUUGCCAUAUCUAUUAAAUUGAGGCUUGUUUUUCUUGCUCUCUGAUUUUUAUCAGUGUUUCAGUACUGGAUUUUUUUAGUGACAGAAAGGCUUGCUCCUUCAAAAAAAUAAAGAAACUAAACUUUUAUGAGUUUUUAGGCCAUACUGUAACAGAAUAGUGCUAUGAUUACUCUUAAAUCAAUAGAAAUAAAUGGGGCUUUGCAUUAACUCUGGAGUUUCUUGGGUCAUGCAAGUGUAAAAAGAAUUAGGUACUUAGUGUAACAUCUUGUUAUAGGUCCAACUGUGAAAAGGUCCAGAGAAACUUCUGUCUCUUAAAACAAAUUUUGGUACUUCAUUUGCCAGUGUAGUUUGAUAUCAUCUCUGGAAAUAACUUGUGAUUUAGGCUCAAUACCUUUCUAUGUAACCAAAUGGAUACAACAGCUCUACAACAAUGAACUUUCUAAGGACAGCAAGAAAGAAAUAAGAGAGCACCGACAAGAUAAUUUUGAUAAAAGCACAACGAAACAAAUUUAGUGAGGAAACCUCAGAAAUAUGAAUAGUUGCUUUAGGACUAAGGUUCAUUCAGAUUUUCUUCUAAAACUUUCUUUAUUAAACAGCACUUCCUAGAACCCUAUUUUCUUUUGAUAUAUGAAUAAAAAUCCUUUUGCAUAUAGCUUCUGAUUAUUCAAUUGCCCUUUGAACCAGUGUUCCAUGGGAAUAAUCUGAACACAUUAAUAUAAUUGUGCUCAAGUUUUGGACUAUUCCUGCAGAGUGACAGAGUCUGUUUCUGCAAGUGAUUUUUAUGAAGUUGUCAUUUCCCUAGGGAAUUCUUAAUCUGAAAACAAAACACUGCUUGUGUUCCAUUCUCAUUAACUUUGAAGCUAGCACCUGCUUCCUAUUGAAUUAAUAAUGUAAUUGCAGUUAAUGUCUUUAUAAAAGAAGGGGAUGGAAGAUGGUUUAUGGUGUUACUACACUGUUGCGGUAAAGCAGGGAACAGAGGUGUGCACUCGGAAAUACCAAUUGUCAGCAUUCAGGCAGUGUGUCAGUAUGCACUGUUGGAACUCUCUGUUAUCAGUCUCAAGUCUGAGCUCCAGAAAUGAGGAAGUAGGUAAUUGCAGACUCCACAUUAUAAGCUUGAGGGAGAUAUUUCUUUCACUAGGAUUCUCUGGUGAUUUUUUUUUUUUUAA